rnacentral:rRNA from 1 species
GAUGAACGCUGGCGGCGUGCUUAACACAUGCAAGUCGAACGGAAAGGCCCAACCUUGCUUGGGUACUCGAGUGGCGAACGGGUGAGUAACACGUGGGUGAUCUGCCCUGCACUUCGGGAUAACUCUGGGAAACUGGGGCUAAUACCGGAUAGGACGAUGUUUUGGAUGCCAUUGUUUAAAGUUUUUUCGGUGUGGGGUGAGCUCGCGGGCUUUCAGCUUGUUUGUGGGGUAAUGGGCUUCCCAGGCGUCGUCGGGUAUGCGGGCUGGGAGGGUGUACGGCCAAAUUGGGAAUGGGGUAAGGCCCAGAAUCCUAAGGGGGGGAAGAGUGGGGAAUAUUGCAAAAUGGGCGCAAGGCUGAUGCAGCGAAGCCGCGGGGGGGAUGACGGCCUUCGGGUUGUAAACGCCUUUCGCUAGGGACGAAGCGUUUUGUGACGGUACCUGGAGAAGAAGCACCGGCUAACUACGUG